UUGAGACCAUGCGGUUAGUCCAGUGUGAUGUCACGUUUACUUGAGUGAACCCAGGAAGAGACGUUGCUAGAAUCAGCUCCUCGUGUUUGGGAAUCACUGGUCUACAACAUCUGGCUUCCUCUGGACUCCAGCUGUGAGGCUCGUCCACUCCCAGCAGCUGCCAGAUGUUUCCACCUGCAACCCGACCACAUCUGUUCCCUCAGACCAGAGCGAGGCCGAGCGCCGCCGUGUCGUGUGUUUAACAGAACUACUGCAGGGAUCAGCCAGGGACGGAAAGUAACUAAGUACUUUUACUCAACUACUGUAAUUAAGUACAUCAAUUCUGAGGUACUUGUACUUUACUUCUGAUUUAAAUAAUUGUA